GACGAACCGUGCGAACGUUAUUCGGAAUCACUGGGCUUAAAGCGCGUGUAGGCGGGGCGGAACGUCGGUCGCUGAAAUCCCCCGGCUCAACCGGGGAAGGGGCGCCGAUACGACCGGCCUGGAGGGACGUAGGGGGAGCUGGAACUUCCGGUGGAGCGGUGAAAUGCGUUGAGAUCGGAAGGAACGCCCGUGGCGAAAGCGAGCUCCUGGACGUUUUCUGACGCUGAGACGCGAAAGCCAGGGGAGCGAACGGG
rnacentral:rRNA from 1 species